CACAUCUAAAUCCUGCAGGACACCAGCCCUCGAGGCCUGGAGUUCGCCACCUGUGGUGAAGAGGCUGACGUUGUUCACGUGUAAAAAAGUGUUUGUGAGGUCUAAACAUCUUUCUCCUCCUCAGUGAUAUCAUUGCCCUGUUUCUCUGUUUUUCUUUCCCGCCUCUUCACCCCACUCUCGGCUCAUCCUCCUCACCAGCAUGUAAGUAUGUUUCUGAGAUCUCCACAGAGACGAGCGGUCCUACAGAUCAGCCGUCUCGCUCUUUAAGUCGAUGGAGCUUCAGUCGGAGUGCCCGGAGCGGUACCGUCUUUGAUCUCCUGAAUUUAACUCUGUGUUUCUCUGACCUCCUCAUGCCGCUCGCCGCUCUCUGAAGGGGGGUUACACAGCUCUUCACCUGGCCUCCAUUCACGGACACCAGGACGUCGUUCAGACCCUGAUCAACUCUCAGAAUGCUAAAACCAACAUCAGAGAUUACCACGGGAAGACGGCCGUUCAGUACUGGAGCGGCAGCGCCGACAUCUUCGAGAAACCCGAGUCUCA